rnacentral:rRNA from 1 species
AGCUUGCUACCUGACCUAGCGGCGGACGGGUGAGUAAUGCUUAGGAAUCUGCCUAUUAGUGGGGGACAACAUUCCGAAAGGAAUGCUAAUACCGCAUACGUCCUACGGGAGAAAGCAGGGGAUCUUCGGACCUUGCGCUAAUAGAUGAGCCUAAGUCAGAUUAGCUAGUUGGUGGGGUAAAGGCCUACCAAGGCGACGAUCUGUAGCGGGUCUGAGAGGAUGAUCCGCCACACUGGGACUGAGACACGGCCCAGACUCCUACGGGAGGCAGCAGUGGGGAAUAUUGGACAAUGGGCGAAAGCCUGAUCCAGCCAUGCCGCGUGUGUGAAGAAGGCCUUUUGGUUGUAAAGCACUUUAAGCGAGGAGGAGGCUACUUGGAUUAAUACUCUAGGAUAGUGGACGUUACUCGCAGAAUAAGCACCGGCUAACUCUGUGCCAGCAGCCGCGGUAAUACAGAGGGUGCGAGCGUUAAUCGGAUUUACUGGGCGUAAAGCGUGCGUAGGCGGCUUCUUAAGUCGGAUGUGAAAUCCCUGAGCUUAACUUAGGAAUUACAUUCGAUACUGGGAAGCUAGAGUAUGGGAGAGGAUGGUAGAAUUCCAGGUGUAGCGGUGAAAUGCGUAGAGAUCUGGAGGAAUACCGAUGGCGAAGGCAGCCAUCUGGCCUAAUACUGACGCUGAGGUACGAAAGCAUGGGGAGCAAACAGGAUUAGAUACCCUGGUAGUCCAUGCCGUAAACGAUGUCUACUAGCCGUUGGGGCCUUUGAGGCUUUAGUGGCGCAGCUAACGCGAUAAGUAGACCGCCUGGGGAGUACGGUCGCAAGACUAAAACUCAAAUGAAUUGACGGGGGCCCGCACAAGCGGUGGAGCAUGUGGUUUAAUUCGAUGCAACGCGAAGAACCUUACCUGGUCUUGACAUAGUAAGAACUUUCCAGAGAUGGAUUGGUGCCUUCGGGAACUUACAUACAGGUGCUGCAUGGCUGUCGUCAGCUCGUGUCGUGAGAUGUUGGGUUAAGUCCCGCAACGAGCGCAACCCUUUUCCUUAUUUGCCAGCGAGUAAUGUCGGGAACUUUAAGGAUACUGCCAGUGACAAACUGGAGGAGGGCGGGGACGACGUCAAGUCAUCAUGGCCCUUACGACCAGGGCUACACACGUGCUACAAUGGUCGGUACAAAGGGUUGCUACCUAGCGAUAGGAUGCUAAUCUCAAAAAGCCGAUCGUAGUCCGGAUUGGAGUCUGCAACUCGAC